UCUCAGUUUACUGUUUACAGUUGUGAGAACUGAGUGAGAGUCCUUAUUCUCCCAGUGUAAUAAUUAUUACACAUUAUGCUUCCUGCCAAAACUAGCUGACUGCCUUAGUCCUUUGAGUUGUGAAUAUCAGUAUCAAUUCAAAAACAACUAUUUAAUAACAACUUUCUUAAAGAAAGGAAGAAAAUAUAAUUUUAUGAAAUGACCACUUUUAUUAUUCUUGAGUGUCUCAGAAAAUUUAGUGUAAAGUGUCCUUUGCUAUCCAGGAUAUAACAGCUGGUUCCAGAUAACAUGGUAUGUCUCAUUAGAGAGAUACUAGAUCUAAUUAUGCAACAUAUAAGCAAGAUCAUUAUAGAAACAUUAUCUCGAUGAGGUAAGUAAAGUACAUGUGAAAUCUAACUCUGCUGUUUGAAAGAAUUUUUGAAAGCAAAUGUAAGGAAUUAAUAAUUACUUAAGUGUAUGAAGAAAGCUGUUGCAAACUACUUAUGAAUCUUUGACAUGUAAUGAAAAAAUAUAAUAGAAUGAUAAGUACCCUGAUUAUUUGUGCUAGAGAUAAAAAUGAACUUCUGGGCAAAUAUCUUUUGCUACCGACAAAUUUUUUUUCUAAACAGUAAAAAUGAGUGCCUUUUCAUAGCAUUUCUACUGUGUCAGAAAUUCUCAAACUUUAGAGUGUAACUGAAACACAGAGAGGGCUUAUUAAAACAAAGAUUGCCGGUCUCCAAUCUCAGAUUCUGUUCAAUAAGGCUAGGUAGAGCCAGAAAAUUUGCAUUUCUAAAAUUCCCAACUGGUGUUCAUGUUGCUGGCCCAGGUCCACUAUUUGAGAACCACUGCACUAUGUGAAAAUCACUAAAGAAGACGCUUAACUUACAUUAUCUUCUUGAUUAUUUUUCUUUAAGAUGCAAGUCCAUGGAUUCUAUUCUGUUAGGUAUUUUGCUUUCUUUCCUUUUUAUUUUUUAGAGACAAGGACUCACUGUGUUGCCCAGGCUGGUAUUGAACUCCUGGGCUCAAGUGGUCUUCUCACUUCAGCCUCCCAAAGUGCUAGGAUUACAGGUAUGAGCCACCAUGCCCAGCUUGCUUGAUAUUUUUCAAUUAAGCUAUCUAUCUAUCUUUGAAAAUCUAGAUUCCUUUACAAAUAAAUCUAUCUUCAAAAUAUAGUUAAGACUAUAUGCCGGUCGGGCGCGGGGGCUCAUACCUGUAAUCGCAGCACUAUGGGAAUUUGAGGCUGGCAGAUCACGAAGUCAGAAGUUUGAGACCAGCCUGACCAACAUGGUGAAACCCCGUUUCUACUAAAAAUACAAAAAUUAUCCAGGUGUGGUGGUGGGCACCUGUAAUCCCAGCUACUCAGGAGGCUGAGGCAGGAGAAUCGCUUGAACCCGGGAGGCAGAAGUUGCAGUGAGCUGAGAUCGUGCCACUGCACUCCAGCCUGGGUGACAGGGCGAGACCCCAUCUCGAAAAAACAAACAAACAAAAAGAGGCUAUAUGCCAAGCAUUAGGCAUAUUUAUAAUAGCAUAUUGAUAAACAACAGCACAAAUAAUAAAAUGAAUAGAUAUUACCAGCUUAAUAUUUGACUUAGCAAGGAAGAGGCCAGGAAUAAUUAGAAGUUUCAGCUCUACAAAGCCAAUUUUGCUUACUCUUGUCUGUAGACAUUGUCUUUUUCCUAAGAAGACUGAGUUUGUUAACUAAGUUUAUUAAUUCUGUUCAUAUCAAUUUUAAAUUUAUCAAAAAGUAGCUACUGGGUCAAAGUCUUGAUAUUGAAAAACUGGAUUAUGAUCUGUUUUCCAAGUUGAUUUUAACUAAGCGAUUUGACUAACUCUUGUCUCCAUCUUCACAGCAAAACAGAGCGUGACACUCCCAAUCAUCUGCAUGCUGGAAAUGAGGAAAUGGUUAUUGAAUGAUACAAGUGCUUUUCGAUCAUUUAGAAAGUUCUGUUUCCCAAGAUCUUUUUUUUUUUUUUUUUUUUUGAGACGGUGUCUUGCUCUGUCACCCAGGCUGGAGUGCAGUGGCGCGAUCUCGGCUCACCACAACCUCCACCUCCUGGGUUCAAGCGAUUCUCCUGCCUCAGCCUCCCGCGUGGCUGAGACUACAGGCAUGUGCCACCAUGCCCGGCUAAUUUUUGUAUUUUUAGUAGAGACAGGGUUUCACUAUGUUGGCCAGGCUGGUCUCAAACUCCUGACCUCGUGAUCCGCCCGCCUUGGACUCCCAAAGUGCUGGGAUUACAGUUGUGAGCCACUGUGCCCGGCCUAGCAAGAUCACUUUUUAAGUAUCCAGAAAGCUCUUUCUUAUGUUGAAUUAUGUCCAGAGGCAUAACUAGACUGAAGGUUUAGACUCCAUUCAUUCUCCUAUGUUUUUGUUCUUAACUGCAUUCUGCAGUCAAAUCAGGAGCUUUAGAAAAUACUGAUGCCUGGCUCUCAACCAGAGAGAACUGAACUGAAUUGGUCUGGUGAAUUCAUUAAAAGAGCUAACAACAAUGAAGUUAAUGUACGCAUCUCACCUCUCAAGAGUAUUAACAGGCCAGGCGUGUUGGCUCAUACCUGUAAUCCCAGCACUUUGGGAGGCCAAGGCGGGCGGAUCACCCAAGGUUGUGGAAAAUGCACUAGAAUCAACAAACAUGGGGACUAAUUCAACUCGGAUAUCAUGUCUUCAGAGAAGUUUCUCCUGCCCUCCUCUCCCUGUAGAAUUAAGUAUUCUUCCACUGUGCCACCCUCUAACUUGUGCUCAUAUCUUCCUCUAUUGUAGUUAUGUGUUCACAUCCCUGUUGUUUUUGUACCGGCUUCUCCCAAAGGGAGACAUUUAGUCUUAUUCUUCUUGGUAACUUUAGCACAGACCUGGCAGAUUGUUGACACUCAACAAAUGUUUAUUGACUCAAAUGCAUUCAGUUGAACAUUGACCUUUGAUCAACUCUGGGAAAAGUCUGCAAAGCUAGUUAGGACAUUCAGAAAUUCAUUUCAUUUCAAUCCUAACUAAAUAAAUUAUUGAAGUCUCAGAACUUCUCAGUACUUGAUUUAGACACAUAGAAACUUGGGUAAAUAACACCUAUAUUGUUAUAUUCCUCAAGAAAAAGUUUAUCUUUUCAUGAAAUGAAUCUACUGAGGAUAUUUAUAGAAACUGAAUGUAAGUGAGCAGAAUAAAGUGGUGUGUGUGUGUGUGUGUGUGUGUGUGUAUGUAAUUUGAAGAGUAGGUGGGAGAAGGUUGUGAUAGGAUAGCAGAUCUUGUUUAUGAUAGUCACCAGCUAUAACAGACACUGCCUGAUGCCUUUCCAAUAUCCACUUCCCUUUUCUUUUUUUUCUUUUUGGAACAGAGUCUCACUCUGUCCCCCAGGCUGGAGUGCAACAGCACGAUCUCGGCUUACUGCAUCCUCUGCCUCCUGGGUUCAAGCAAUUCUCAUGCCUCAGCCUCCCUAGUAGCUGGGAUUACAGGCUCUCGCCACCACGCCCAGCUAAUUUUUGUGUUUUUAGUAGAGACGGGGUUUCGCCAUGUUGGCCAGGCUAGUCUUGAACUCCUGACCUCAGGUGAUCCACCUGCCUCAGCCUCUCUAAGUGCUGGGAUUACAGGCGUGAGCCACCGUGCCUGGCUCUCUUUUCUUACUUAAUGUCUGUGUCAAUUAAAUAGAAAUGUAUCAAGUUAAAAACCUUGCCUCGGUAGCUUCCAGUGCAAAUAAAGGUACCCAUGCCACCCCAUUCUGGCCAGCAGUAAAAUUGAUGGAAGCCUCUGGUUGGGGCUUCAAGGAAAGCUUUAUCAAAAGAUAAACUCACUGGCUUUGUCCCUUAGUUCAGUGGUCCCCAACCUUUUUGGCACCAAGAGACCAGUUUUGUGGAAGACAAUUUUUUCCAUGGACCAGGAGGGUUCCGGGGGAUGGUUUUGGGAUGAAAAUGUUUCACCUUAGAUAUCAUCGGGCAUUCAAUUCUCAUAAGGAGCCUGCAACCUAGACCUCUCACAUGUGCAGUUCACAAUAGGGUUCAUGCUCCUAUGAGAAUCUAAUGCCACUGCUGAUCUGACAGGAGGCAGAGCUCAGGCAGUAAUGCUCACUAGUUCCGUUGCUCGCCUCCUGCUGUGCAGCCCAGUUCCUAACAGGACACAGACCAGUACUGGUUCGCAACCCAGGGUUUGGGGGCCCCUGUCUUAGUUCCUUUGCCUUCCUUCCAGAUGGAUGCCUGGAGGAACAAUCAUCCCGCAAUUGUGAAAAUUGAAGCCAUAUUUUAAAGUUGGUUUCAAUUGUAAUACAGAAGAAAUCUGGACCUUGAUGACAUUUGAGCUAGAGUACUAAUCUUGAUCUUCCUAUUCAUGAGCUUGUUGCAAGAGACAAGACUUUUACUGAUUUAACUCAUUGUUGGGAUUUCUUGGAACUAAACACAGUCAUAAUACAUUUUUUCCUUCCCAGGAAAAUGGUAGAGCAUGACUUUUCAAAUCUAAUAAAACUCAUGUGUAGCUAAAACCACUCUACUGAAACAAUUCCAUCUCAGCCCAUGGUACAAGGGAUUUUCCUGAAUGAAAAAUGGUGUCUGAUCAUUUUGUUGGUUUCUUUGUUGGUUUUUCCUGAAACUUAGGGUUAAAGAAUCCAGGAAAGUUGUCUUAGAUAGAGUUAUAAUUUCCGUGGACAUCAACUGAUAAAUGCAAUUACAGUUUGUAUGCCUAGGUUUGGCAAAAAUCAUAUAAGCAACAUCCCUCACAUAAUAUUGUUUUAAUUAAAUUUUAUUUCUUUCUUGGUAUGAAACAUACUGCAGAAGCACAAUCAAUGAACAUUGGAUAGUUUCCUUAAAUCUUGCUCUUUGUCCUAUUUAUAUAAUUUAUUGUGUCAGUGGUUCUCAAGUGGUAUGCUCCUGCAACUCAUCAUCUGAAAAUCCUUCCCAGAUGUGCUGAAAAAUUUUCAUUAAUUUGUAUAUUCUAUUUUAUUUUUAUAACUAAGUACACAUGCUUGUGACUGGAAGAGAAGACACCCCUCAUUUAAUCCCAGAGGAAUAUUUGGCCUUGAUUCAUGCCCUGCUCACUCCACCCCAUUAUUAAGAUAGAGAUCGCUGAAGAAAUCCCUGCUCUAUAAAUGUAGCUGAUCCAAAAACAAAAUGGAAAUUCAUUAUUUUAAAUAUUUCUACAAGAUCUUUGUACAACUCUAUUUUUUUUUCCUAUUAAGAAUUACAUGAUUCUAGAAUAAGUUCCAACCCUAAGUAUCAACACUGGAACACAAUUUUAAAACAGGAGGCGAUUAUCUCUAUAGUGAGAUUUAACUACAGAGGUGAUAGCUCUGGUUAGUGAAUUUCAGGACUAGAAAUCAGGCCUGCUGUCUCUUAGCUUAGAGGAGGUAUAAUAAGAAGAGGAUUAGAACUACUGUGUAUAUUAACAAGAAGAACUCUAUUAUGUUCAGCUAUCAUUAUAUAUGAUAUUAUGUUUCUUUUUAUGAACUAUAGUUCACUGUCUUUAAGCAUAAUGUUUGCCCAAGGUGGGGGUGUUGGUGUGUGUCUGUGUGUAUAUGCAUGUGUGCACAUGUGUGUAUGUAUAGUUGAUUCAUUCAUUCUGACCUACUGAAUUUACUGAAGGAAUAAGAAGAAAUACCUUGAACUGAGGGACCUGGCUUAGCUCAACAUCUGUACCAUCUACCUUUGAGUAUCCAUUCCUUUACUAUGAAGCAUGGAUGCUAAAACUAAAAUUGCAUUUGCUAAACUACUUUGUAGCUAGAUUCCUGGGUGAGAUUAGAUUUGGUCAAUUAGAUGUUCUUGUGUAACAUUUAGAAGGUGAUAGUAAGGCAAAGGUCAUGUGACUGGCUGAUUUUAUUUAUGUUCAAUGAUCUUUAUUGGGGUACACUUUAUAUAUAAUAAUAAAUAAUGCACACAUUUUAAGUGUACAAUUUGAUGAGUUCUGACAAAUUUAUAUGCAUGUAUAACCAGCAUCAAUAUCAAGAUAUAUAAUGAUCCCCUCAUUCCAGAAUAGUCUCUUGUGUUCUUUCCAGCCAAUGCCCCACCCCUGGAUUCUGGCAACAAUUGAUCUGCUUUUUAUUACCAUGGAUUAUAUUUGUCUUUCCUAGAGAUACAAAUAAAUGAAAUAAUGUAGUGUGUCCUCUUUAACUUUGGCUUAUUUCUCUCGGCACACUAUUUCUGAAAUUUGUCCAUACUGUUGAUAUGGCAGACAGAAUUUUAAGAUGGUUCCUAAAAUUCUUGCCUCCUGGUAUGUAUAAUUUUCUCUCGGUUUUCCGCUGAACACUAACCUAGGUGCUAUUGUAAAGGGAUUUCUCAAGUGUAAUUAAAGUCCCUAAUAAGUUUAUUUUAAGUUAGAAAAAUUUUCCCAGGUGAGCUUGAGCUAAGUGAGUGACCUAAGCAGGUGAGUUGUUAGAAAAAAAUUAAGAGAUAUUUGAAGCGUAGACAAAAUUCUGUUGGCUUUUAAAAGAAAACUUCCAUGUGAUAGAGAAAGCCAGAUGAUAGGGAACACAAGGUUACCUCUAAAUUGACAACCAGCAAAAAAGCUGAGACUUCAGUCUUAUCAUCAUAAGGAAUUGAAUUCUGUCAACAGCCACGUGACCUUAGAGGAGGCCCCUGAGCCGCAGAUGAGAUCAUGGCCCUGGCCAAUACCUUAAAUUCAUCCUGGUGAGAUAUGAGCAGAGAACUCAGCUAUGCCAUGCUCAGAUUUCUCACCUGUAGAGCAGUAAAUUAAUAAGUGAGCAUUAUUUGAAGCUGCUAAGUUUGUGGUGAUUUGUUACACAUCAAGAGAAAACAUAUGCUGUAUAUAUUAUUAGAUUUUUCCUUUAUAUUGGUGGGUGUAUUUGUUAUCUAUUACUUCCUAACAAAUCGACAAUAAUUAAGUGUCUUAAGACAACACAUAUUUAUUACCUCAUAGUUUCUGUGGGUCAGAAAUCUGGGCAUGGUUUAUGUGAGUUCUUUGAUUUAAAGUUGUUGGCAAAUCUGUAAACAAGGAAGCAGUCAGGACCGAGGUCUCAUCUGAAAGUCAACUUGGGAUGGGUCUGCUUCCAGCCUCACUUAACAUAACAGCUGGCAGGAUUCAGUUGCUCUUGGGUAGUUGGAUUGAUGGCCUCAGAUAACUAGGUAGCUAUUAGCUAGAUUUCACCCUCAGUUUGUUGCCGUGUGGGCCUCCCUAAGGUGGCAAUUUACUUCAUCAAAACCAGCAAGGGAGAGAGUUGGCUACAAUCUCUAGUAAUGUAGCUACAGAAAUGACAUCCCCUUAGCAAUGAGAUAUUUUAUUAAUUAGAAAGAAAUUACUCAACAGGAGGGGAUUACACAAUGUAGUGAAUACCAGGAGGCUGAGAUCAGAAGGAGCUAGUGUAGAAGCUGCCUACCACAGUGAGUAGUAUUCUAUUACAUGAAUAUACCAGAAUGUCUGAAUCCACCCAACUGGGCAUAGACGUUUGUGUUCAUUCAAGAUACAGACUAUUAUUAUUUUAAAAAUAAAAGUUACUAUGAACAUUUAAGUAUAAGCUUUUGUGUGGGCGUGUUUCAUUUGUUUUGAAUGAAAUUGCAGGGUCGCAUAGAAAAUGCAUAUUUAAUCUUAUAAGAAGCUGCUUAAAAUGCUUUGCAAUGUGAUUUUACCAUUUUACACUCCCAACAAUGUAUAGCAAUAUAUCAUAGAUCUAGUGGUUUCAUAUCUCCACAAACACUUGAUAUUGUCACUCAGUUUAAUUGUAGCUACUUAAAUAGGCUUAUAAUGGUACUCGUUAUGAUUUUAAUAUGCAUUUCCCUAAUGCCUAUUAGGGACUAAUUAUGUUAAGCAUCUUUUCAUGUAUUUGGAGGCCAUUUGUGUACCUUCAUUUGUAAAAUAUCUGUUUAAGUAGCUUGCCCAUUUGGAUUGCUUUACAUUUUAUUAUAGAGUCAUAAGCAUCCUUUAUAUAUUCUGAAUAUAACUCUUUUAUCAGACAUACAUAUAUAUCAAAUAUUUUUUUCUAAGUUUGUGGUUUGUGUUUUUACUUUUUAUACUGUUUAUUGAAUAGUAGAUUUUAUAUUCAUUUUAUCCAUUCUGUUAUGAUCGAUAUUUUUUGAACUAUGAAAAUAUUGCUAUGUAAAAAUAAAAAAUAUAUUUUCAUCCCGAGUUUCAUAAUUUUAGCUUUCACUCUUAUAUCUGUGAUUCAUUCUGAGUUUUCUUGUAUAGUUUAAAGUCAGAGUGGGUGUUUGUUUGCUUAUUAAUAUAUUUAUAGAUAUUUCUAAUUCUUUCUAGCACCAUUUAUUAAAAAGUCUCUUUUUUUACCCAUUGAAUUAUUUUUUUUAAAUUGUUAUGUCUAAAAUCAAAUUACCAAAUACACAUUGUCUAUUUUGAACUAUUUAUUCUGUUUCAUUGAUUUUUAUGUGUUCCUUUACACCAAUAUCAUUGUCUUAAUUACUGUAGAUUUGUUGGAAAUAUGGGAGUCAAAUUUAAGGAUUUCAAUUUUGUCCUUUUAUCAAGUUGUUUUGGCUGUUCUAGGUCCUUUGCAUUUCCCUAUAACAUUUGGAAUUAGGUUGUCAAUAUUUCCCCAGAAUAAAGCCUGCUGGGAUUUUGAACAGGAUUGCAUGGAAUCUAUAAAUCAAUUUAGUGAGAAUUAAUAACAUAUUAAGUACUCUAAUUGAUGAACAUAGUAUCAUCUUCCAUUUAUUUAGUCUUUGACUUCUCGGAAAUGUUUUAUAGUUUUCAGUGUGUAGGUCUUGAAGUUUGUAAAAUUCUAAGUGUUUUAUGGUUUUGACUGUAAUUGUAAAUACCUCCCAUUG
rnacentral:lncRNA from 1 species